UUUACUUUUUCUAUGGUGUGCUGUUUCCUGUAAUUUAACAGCAGAGUGGUUUAGUCUGUAGUAAACUAGCAUAUACCCCUAUCUUCAGUUGGGGUAUCAAUUGGAUCUCGCCUUUCCAUUUUGGCUUAAUGAGCUGUAUCAUUUUGUUUGGCAGUAUAUAAAGACCAGGGAUUUGGAUAUAUGUCUGUGGUUCAGGAACUGUGCAACAGGACCUGGCUGAUGCAAGGGCAGAAGUUCAAGCGACACAAGACUAUAUUACAAACGGUGAUUGUAUAAUAACAGAUGCCAGACAUGACUCAAGUAGAUCAGCCAUGCAUUCUACAGUGACAGCUAUUUCUAUGAG